rnacentral:rRNA from 1 species
GUUAGUUGCCAUCAUUCAGUUGGGCACUCUAGCGAGACUGCCGGUAAUAACCGGAGAAGUGGGAUGACGUCAAAUCAUCAUGCCCCUUAUGACCUGGGCUACACACGUGCUACAAUGGUUGGUACAACGAGUUGCGAGUCGGUGACGGCGAGCUAAUCUCUUAAAGCCAAUCUCAGUUCGGAUUGUAGGCUGCAACUCGCCUACCAUGAAGUCGGAAUCGCUAGUAAUCGCGGAUCAGCACGCCGCGGUGAAUACGUUCCCGGGCCUU